GGGGGUGUACUGGUUUCGACGGGAAUGGGCGGGGACACUGUAAGCGAGCUGCGGCCCCCUGAACCGCAUAACAACAGGGAAAUUAAAAGUAACUGACAACAAUCAGAAACUUGCUUUCGCGGCAUAAGCCGUGAACGUCGUCCUCAGGUUCUCACCGCUUGAGAAGACGGCGCCAGUUAGGUGAGGAACGGAUACGCCAAAGCUUUGCGGCACUAUCUGAAUUAUGAAGCUACCGAUAUAGUUUGCCUGCCUGCCGGCAUGCUGUAAAGGGAAAUUAAAUAGACAGGCUGCGCUCGGAGAAAACGGUGUACCGCGUUUUCGGACAGGGGUUCAAUUCCCCUCACUUCCACCA
rnacentral:tmRNA from 1 species